AAAGGUAGCAUAAUCAAUUGGCUUAUAAUUGAAGUCUAGUAUGAAUGGGAAUUCGGGGAAUAGCUCUCUCGACCAAGAUUUAUAUAAGUUACUUAAUGAGUGAAAAUUCUCAUAGUAAAAAAGAAAGACGAGAAGACCCUAGAAAUUUUGUAUAUAUAUAUAUAUUUUAUAUUUAUUUUGUUGGGGCGACAUAGUAACAAAUAACUUACUAUAAUAUAUAUGCUACUACUAAGUUGGGAGAAUAAAUUACUCUAGGGAUAACAGCAUUAUUCAAAGUGAGUUUGUGACCUCGAUGUUGGACUAGGAAAUAAUUUUUCUAAAAGAUAAAUUUAUAGGCUCUGUUCGAGCUUUAUUAUCCUA
rnacentral:rRNA from 1 species